rnacentral:rRNA from 1 species
UACGUAGGGAGCGAGCGUUGUCCGGAUUCAUUGGGCGUAAAGAGCUCGUAGGCGGCUUGGCAAGUCGGGUGUGAAAACUCCAGCUCAACCUGGAGACGCCACCCGAUACUGCCAUGGCUAGAGUCCGGUAGGGGACCACGGAAUUCCUGGUGUAGCGGUGAAAUGCGCAGAUAUCAGGAGGAACACCGGUGGCGAAGGCGGUGGUCUGGGGCCGGA